rnacentral:rRNA from 1 species
UACGGAGGAGGAAAGCGUUAUCCGGAAUUAUUGGGCGUAAAGCGUCCGUAGGUGGUUCACCAAGUCUGCUGUCAAAGGGUGGGGCUUAACCUCAUAAAGGAAGUGGAAACUGGUGAGCUAGAGUGCGGUAGGGGUAAGGGGAAUUCCCAGUGUAGCGGUGAAAUGCGUAGAGAUUGGGAAGAACAUCGGUGGCGAAAGCGCCUUACUGGGCCUGCACUGACACUGAGGGACGAAAGCUAGGUGAGCGAAAGAC